AGCCUAUGAUGAAUUACUUUUAACUUCUGACACCUCGUAUGAAAACUGCAUGUGCAGUCUGAUUACAUUGCAAAACUGAGGCUU
ensembl:snoRNA